rnacentral:rRNA from 1 species
GUGUCAGCAGCCGCGGUAAGACAGAGGGUGCGAACGUUGUUCGGAAUUACUGGGCGUAAAGCGCGUGUAGGCGGCAGCGCAAGUCGGGCGUGAAAUCCCACGGCUCAACCGUGGAAGUGCACUCGAAACUGCGCAGCUAGAGUCCUGGAGAGGAAGGUGGAAUGCUUGGUGUAGAGGUGAAAUUCGUAGAUAUCAAGCGGAACACCGGUGGCGAAGGCGGCCUUCUGGACAGUGACUGACGCUGAGACGCGAAAGCGUGGGGAGCAAACAGGAUUAGAUACCCUGGUAGUCC